UGAGACAGGUGCUGCAUGGCUGUCGUCAGCUCGUGUUGUGAAAUGUUGGGUUAAGUCCCGCAACGAGCGCAACCCUUAUCCUUUGUUGCCAGCGGUUAGGCCGGGAACUCAAAGGAGACUGCCAGUGAUAAACUGGAGGAAGGUGGGGAUGACGUCAAGUCAUCAUGGCCCUUACGAGUAGGGCUACACACGUGCUACAAUGGCAUAUACAAAGAGAAGCGACCUCGCGAGAGCAAGCGGACCUCAUAAAGUAUGUCGUAGUCCGGAUUGGAGUCUGCAACUCGACUCCAUGAAGUCGGAAUCGCUAGUAAUCGUGGAUCAGAAUGCCACGGUGAAUACGUUCCCGGGCCUUGUACACACCGCCCGUCACACCAUGGGAGUGGGUUGCAAAAGAAGUAGGUAGCUUAACCUUCGGGAGGGCGCUUACCACUUUGUGAUUCAUGACUGGGGUGAAGUCGUAACAAGGUAACCGUAGGGGAACCUGCGGUUGGAUCACCUCCUUACCUUAAAGAA
rnacentral:rRNA from 2 species